rfam:Citrus clementina cultivar Clemenules unplaced genomic scaffold scaffold_1, whole genome shotgun sequence.
AUACCAUGAUGAGGACACCUUCUAAGCAAUUCCUUGAAUCUUUCUCAAGUCUCGUACAAACUUUCAUCUUCCAGUUGAUAGAAUGAAGUAAUCUCAUUCCGCAACUU